CAAUGCAGGCAGCUGAGUGUGUCACAGCUCUAACUGAGACACACAGUAAUCAACACACCCGAGUCAAUUCCCAUGAUGGCAAGAGGGGAAACCGGAGGAGGUGACCAGGAUGAUGAGAACAUUCUUCUACCAAGUUUUAGCACUGACUAUCCUCCGGAAAAUGGGAUCCAGGAGAAGUGACGCCCUCCUCGAACUGAAAGGCUCACAGGCUGGCAGAGUCAGGGAGGACGUGGCUAAUGACCAGCAACACUGCACCCCGUCCAGGCUGCCUGCAGGGAGUGUUUCCUGACCUGUCCAGAGAAGUCUGUCCAGUGUCAUUGAGAUACCCUGAGAUUUCAGUCGGAAGCGCGAGUUGUGCCGAAGAGCCCACACGCUUAAUUCGUUGAGCAGCCGCACAGUCUUUACCGCUGGAUUUCGUUAGAAAGGAAGGAGAGGCUGUUUCUACAGGGUGUCACAGGAAAAUCGAUGCUGAGCCACGGAUUAUUGGAUCCCACAGAACCGUGGUGACUCGGCAGUGAAAUUCUUCCAAAGCCUCUUCUGGAUCUCUGAGUUGAAAGAAAAAGAACAAAACAAAGCAACAACAAAAAAGCAAAGCUGUUCCUCCCACCUUGGUUGCUUCCCUGCAUCGCUUAGCAUUCCAUCUGCGAAGGCAGAGGUGUCCCUGGUUCGGGAAGUAUAAAUCCCGUGGGAAGUCAGCUGGAGAACAUUUUACGCAUCGCUCAUUCUGUUAUGAGCCUGCUGCUCUUCCCUCUCCCGACAAGCGUACACUUUUAAACUGUCUGAAACACGAAAGGCUGUGUAUUUUCACUGCUCAAACUCGGGCUAAGUAGACAGUGUCUUGACUCUGGCUGUGCCCGACAUCCCUGCUCCAUGCAAGACAACGGAUGAGAAGAGCUCAGAAAUAUAAAUAAAAUAACUGGAAGUGAAAAUCUUUGAAUUUCCCAUUCGAUGUGUUAAAGGACAGAAGCCGCAAUAAGGCUGCCUGGCUACAUUUUCCCAGUGCCCCCAGCUGCGAGUUAAGCUGACGAACAUUUCGAGAGCUCGGCCCAUUUCAUUCACAGCGGGACGGCAGGAGUUGCCAUGAAGAAUAAACUAAAAAUCAUGCUUUUAUUGCACAUUUGUGUUGAAUCUCAGGACUGGAAACGAUGAAAUUCUGCUCAGCAAGAAAUAAUAUGCUCUGGAGAACCUGCUAAUUCACAGAAAAUGGACUGGGCUAACAUUCGGGUUCUCAUCCUACCACAGUCCUCUUGAGAAGGACGGCCAGGCACCAGCAUUUAGCAGCUGCUGCUUCUGAACCAUGAACCACACACCCUGAUCAAGAACACUGCUAGGAUUGUAUUGUAUUCCUUGUGAGCUGAGUUCCACAAGCACGGGAAACAGAGAGAGCUACACAGUUUGUCUACAAUUGCUGGAGCUGAGGAGGCGAAUAAUGAAGGGGCCAGGGAAGGAGGCCAAUACUACAAGGGUUAUCUCCCCACCUCAGAUGCUGGAUAAGUUGAAGGAGGCAGACUCGCUUCUGGAUGACAUUCAGAAAGGCUGGAGCGAUUAUUUGGAAGAGAAAACCCUGCCUCUGUUUUCAAAGGUACGUGAAUAUUGUCGAGACCUGCCCGUCUAAAGGUCCCGUCCUUAGAAUCCUGCCUUAGACAAAGGAUGCACUUGGAGCCCUACCACACCUAAAACCACGUUUUGAAGGAUCUGCCAAGCUCACUUUUAAUCAUGAGGACGAAAUUACCCACAUGGAGGCAGCAGAAAAUGAGAAAGUAGAGUUCGUGCCGCGAUUAAUUCCAGCGAGUGCCAAGGGGCUAGUUGAGGAAUGGCUUCAUGAGAUGUUAGUCUGUCUAGAACAACACCUGAGGAUCUAAGCCGGACCUUGGAGAAAGAAACGACUUCAAGGAAAGACUCCUUUCCCUAUGGUUUAAUUCCUCACUUUUUACCCGGAUUGUAUCAGAUGCACUCUCAAACUAUGCUCACCCUUUCUGCUC